ACCUUUUGCUAGUGAUGUAACAACAAGCAGAAACGCCUUACUUUUUGGCACUUUGUAUGUGACCCCAGAAGAUGAAAUAAUCUAGCAGUAGUAAAAAGCCAACAUCAUCAGUUUACACAGAUCUAGGGGUAUCUAUCUGCAAACGGAUGUGGGGGACAAGCAUGAAAAGGUGAAGAGAAAGAAGACGCAGUAAAAAAAGCAGAUCUGAGAGAACCAACUUUACAUGAAAAGGUGAAGAGAAAGAAGGGCAGCCCAAAGAAAAACCAAAACUUUACACCAGCCGACCUGCCCUGCCUCUAAAUAAAACAGGCUCUCCCCUGCACUUAUCAGC
rnacentral:lncRNA from 1 species